CACGUAGGGGCCAAGCGUUGUCCGGAUUUAUUGGGCGUAAAGAGCUCGUAGGCGGUUUGUCGCGUCUGCUGUGAAAACCCGAGGCUCAACCUCGGGCCUGCAGUGGGUACGGGCAGACUAGAGUGCGGUAGGGGAGAUUGGAAUUCCCGGUGUAGCGGUGAAAUGCGCAGAUAUCGGGAGGAACACCGGUGGCGAAGGCGGUUCUCUGGGCCUGUACUGACGCUGAGGAGCGAAAGCGUGGGGAGCGAACAGG
rnacentral:rRNA from 1 species